UACGUAGGGUGCAAGCGUUGUCCGGAAUUAUUGGGCGUAAAGAGCUCGUAGGCGGUUCGUCGCGUCGGCUGUGAAAACCCGGAGCUUAACUCCGGGCCUGCAGUCGAUACGGGCGGACUGGAGUUCGGCAGGGGAGACUGGAAUUCCUGGUGUAGCGGUGAAAUGACGCAGAUAUCAGGAGGAACACCGGUGGCGAAGGCGGGUCUCUGGGCCGAUACUGACGCUGAGGAGCGAAAGCGUGGGGAGCGAACAGG
rnacentral:rRNA from 1 species